rnacentral:rRNA from 1 species
CCUACGGGGGGCUGCAGUGGGGAAUAUUGGACAAUGGGCGCAAGCCUGAUCCAGCAACGCCGCGUGAAUGAAGAAGGCUUUCGGGUUGUAAAGUUCUUUCAUCAGGGACGAAGGCAAUGACGGUACCUGACGAAGAAGCCCCGGCUAACUACGUGACAGCAGCCGCGGUAAUACGUAGGAGGCAAGCGUUAUCCGGAUUUACUGGGUGUAAAGGGCGUGUAGGCGGGGGCGCAAGUCAGAUGUGAAAGCCACGGGCUCAACCUGUGGACUGCUUUUGAUACUGUGUGGCUAGAGUACUGGAGAGGCAGACGGAAUUCCUAGUGUAGCGGUGAAAUGCGUAGAUAUUAGGAGGAACACCAGUGGCGAAGGCGGCCUGCUGGACAGAAACUGACGCUGAGGCGCGAAAGCGUGGGGAGCAAACAGGAUUAGAUACCCUAGUAGUC